UACGAGGGGGGCAAGCGUUGUUCGGAAUUAUUGGGCGUAAAGGGUGCGUAGGCGGUCUGACAAGUCUGAUGUGAAAUCUAUGGGCUCAACCCAUAGUCGUGCAUCGGAAACUGUCGGGCUUGAGUAUGGGAGAGGUGAGUGGAAUUUCCGGUGUAGCGGUGAAAUGGCGUAGAGUAUCGGAAGGAACACCUGUGGCGAAAGCGGCUCACUGGACCAUUACUGGACGCUGAGGCACGGAAAGCUAAGGGGAGCAAACAGG
rnacentral:rRNA from 1 species